AGAGAACAAAAAACACCACAAGGCUAUUUUUCCCCCUGCAUUCUUUCUGUAUUGAGUAUCCUUUCAGUGUUAUUAGUGUAUGCUUUGAAUGUAAAAAUUGGUCACCCUAAGGAAAGGAAUUGGCAUGUGUAUGUUUGCUGGGAUUACAGGCGUGAGCCACCAUGCCCGCCAAUAUUAUUUUUAAUGUAUAACAGAAUAAUGUCAGGGUUUUGUUUUUUUUUUUUAAUGUAUUUUUAUUAUAGCAGCAAAAAGUAGACUAAGACACCUUUCCACCUUCUCAUUUCUUCUCAUAUUCAUUGGCCAGAAUUAAAUCUGUGGAGAAUUUGACCUGGAUCAAUCAAGACCCAUCACCCCAGGGCUGGAGAAGGGCUCAGACUCCCCUAAAGCUCUGAGCCCUAGAGACCCCCCGCUCUCUUUGAUAACUACCACCAUCCUGCACGAACCAGUUGCUUAUACUGGCUUAUAUUGUGAUCGUGUUUGAACAACAAAGUUAUAAAAUAAUGUGAAAACUGACAGAAUUGAAAGAAGAAAUAGAUAAAUCCACAAUUACAGCGUGGAGUGGUAUGUGCCUGAAGUCCCAACUAUUUGAAAGUCUGGGAUGAGAGGAUUGCUUGAGCCUGGGAGGUUGAGGCUGCAGUGAGCCACACUCCAUUGCAGUCCAGCGAGGGUGACAGUGAGUCCCUGUCUCAAAAAAAAAAAAAAAAUCAUCUGAAAGUAUAAAAUUCACAGAU
rnacentral:lncRNA from 1 species